GACGUAGGGCGCGAGCGUUGUCCGGAUUUAUUGGGCGUAAAGAGCUCGUAGGCGGCUUGUCGCGUCGAAUGUGAAAACUCGGGGCUCAACUCCGAGCUUGCAUUCGAUACGGGCAGGCUAGAGUUCGGUAGGGGAGACUGGAAUUCCUGGUGUAGCGGUGAAAUGCGCAGAUAUCAGGAGGAACACCGGUGGCGAAGGCGGGUCUCUGGGCCGAUACUGACGCUGAGACGCGAAAGCGUGGGGAGCAAACAGG
rnacentral:rRNA from 1 species